ACGUAGGGACCAAGCGUUGUUCGGAUUUACUGGGCGUAAAGGGCGCGUAGGCGGCCAGCACAAGUCAGUUGUGAAAUCUCCGGGCUUAACUCGGAAAGGUCAACUGAUACUGUGCGGCUAGAGUGCAGAAGGGGCAACUGGAAUUCUUGGUGUAGCGGUGAAAUGCGUAGAUAUCAAGAGGAACACCUGAGGUGAAGACGGGUUGCUGGGCUGACACUGACGCUGAGUGCGCGAGAGCUAGGGUAGCAAACGGGA
rnacentral:rRNA from 1 species